rnacentral:rRNA from 1 species
UAGGGAAUCUUCGGCAAUGGACGAAAGUCUGACCGAGCAACGCCGCGUGAGUGAAGAAGGUUUUCGGAUCGUAAAACUCUGUUGUUAGAGAAGAACAAGGACGUUAGUAACUGAACGUCCCCUGACGGUAUCUAACCAGAAAGCCACGGCUAACUACGUGCCAGCAGCCGCGGUAAUACGUAGGUGGCAAGCGUUGUCCGGAUUUAUUGGGCGUAAAGCGAGCGCAGGCGGUUUCUUAAGUCUGAUGUGAAAGCCCCCGGCUCAACCGGGGAGGGUCAUUGGAAACUGGGAGACUUGAGUGCAGAAGAGGAGAGUGGAAUUCCAUGUGUAGCGGUGAAAUGCGUAGAUAUAUGGAGGAACACCAGUGGCGAAGGCGGCUCUCUGGUCUGUAACUGACGCUGAGGCUUGAAAGCGUGGGGAGCAAACAGG